UGUUGGAAUUGAGUAAAGUCGUAUUUGAUUGGUUAGAAACACUACUCUGUCAUAACGCUGAGAAAAAUGGGCGGUGCUGAGAAUCCUCCCAUGAGAGGUAAUUGCAGAUAUUUCGACUGAAUUUCUCAGCCAACAGAAAACAGAAUAAACUUAAAGACUACAACAUGAGGGUUAAAGACAUCGAUGCACAGAAUUAUGGGAUAUGUGGCGCAUGAAAAGGAUGUAUGCAUACGAAAAUCCCACAGCCCACACCUCAAAGGGCAGAGAAUUCAAUUCGGACAUUAUGCCUCAGCCAUAAUUAUGGACACAUUAAUGUAUGUAUACUCCUUAUCAAAGAUUUAUCCCUUUGAAUGGCAGCACUGUAUAAACGUGAGCACAAUGUAGCAUUAUGUAGUUUGAGGAGCGACAAUGCUGUGAAUCUGUGCCUGCUUUUAUGUUUAUAGUAUUUCAGUAGUUACUUUUACGAUCGACGCAACACGUUUCUUGUAUAAACACACACAUCUUCAUUGAAUUUCUCUUUAAAAGUGUCGUGCACUCAUCUAUCUUUCAAAGUGAUGCUUUAAAGAUGCCUAAACUCUGUUUAGCUUUUACAGACACUUGUGUAAUAUUUGUGUGGCGGUCUGAGAAAAACCAUCAGACAUUGCUGUGGCUGAAGUUUGGCCAACAGCAAGCUUUUUUUUUUCUGUCUGGAACAAACUGAUAAAUUUUA